UGGCGUACGGGUGAGUAACACGUGGAUAAUCUACCUCUUAGUGAGGAAUAACUUUGGGAAACCGAAGCUAAUACCGCAUAAGCCUGGAAAGGGAAAGCAGCAAUGCGCUGAGAGAGGAGUCCGCGGCCGAUUAGCUAGUUGGCAGGGUAACAGCCUACCAAGGCAUUGAUCGGUAGCCGGCCUGAGAGGGCACACGGCCACACUGGCACUGAAACACGGUCCAG
rnacentral:rRNA from 1 species